UACGUAGGGUGCAAGCGUUGUCCGGAAUUAUUGGGCGUAAAGAGCUCGUAGGCGGUCUGUUGCGUCGGCUGUGAAAACCCGGGGCUCAACUCCGGGCCUGCAGCCGAUACGGGCAGACUAGAGUUCGGCAGGGGAGACUGGAAUUCCUGGUGUAGCGGUGAAAUGCGCAGAUAUCGGGAGGAACACCGGUGGCGAAGGCGGGUCUCUGGGCCGAUACUGACGCUGAGGAGCGAAAGCGUGGGGAGCAAGCAGG
rnacentral:rRNA from 1 species